AUUGAACGCUGGCGGCAGGCCUAACACAUGCAAGUCGAGCGAGCGGCGGACGGGUGAGUAAUGUCUGGGAAACUGCCUGAUGGAGGGGGAUAACUACUGGAUACGGUAGCUAAUACCGCAUACCAUCAGACGUGCCCAGAUGGGAUUAGCAAGUAGGUGGGGUAACGGCUCACCUAGGCGACGGUCCCUAGCUGGUCUGCGAGGAUGACCAGCCAGCCGGGAAGGGAGACACGGUCCAGAGUCCUACGGGAGGCAGCAGUGGGGAAUAUUGCACAAUGGGCGCGAGCCUGAUGCAGCCGUGCCGCGUGUGUGAAGAAGGCCUUCGGGUUGUAAAGCACUUUCAGCGGGGAGGCGUUACCCGCAGAAGAAGCACCGGCUAACUCCGUGCCAGCAGCCGCGGUAAUAC
rnacentral:rRNA from 1 species